rnacentral:rRNA from 1 species
CAGGACGAACGCUGGCGGCGUGCCUAAUACAUGCAAGUCGAACGGUCUUUCUAUGGAAGCUUGCUUCCACUGAGAAGAUAGUGGCGAACGGGUGGGUAACACGUGGGUAACCUGCCCAUAAGAGGGGGGAUAACAUCCGGAAACGGGUGCUAAUACCGCAUAGUUUUCUUGAUCGCAUGAUCGGGAAAGGAAAGACGGCCUUUGUGCUGUCGCUUAUGGAUGGACCCGCGGCGUAUUAGUUAGUUGGUGAGGUAACGGCUCACCAAGACGAUGAUACGUAGCCGACCUGAGAGGGUGAUCGGCCACAUUGGGACUGAGACACGGCCCAAACUCCUACGGGAGGCAGCAGUAGGGAAUCUUCCGCAAUGGACGAAAGUCUGACGGAGCAACGCCGCGUGAGUGAAGAAAGGUUUUCGGAUCGUAAAACUCUGUUGUCAGAGAAGAACAAGUUGGAGAGUAACUGCUCCAGCCUUGACGGUAUCUGACCAGAAAGCCACGGCUAACUACGUGCCAGCCGCAGC